rnacentral:tRNA from 1 species
GCGCGAGUGGUGAAAUUGGUAUACACGUAUGCCUUAGGAGCAUAUGCCGUACGGCGUGCUGGUUCAAGUCCAGUCUCGCGCACCA